UACGGAGGGGGCUAGCGUUGUUCGGAAUUACUGGGCGUAAAGCGCACGUAGGCGGCUUUGUAAGUUAGAGGUGAAAGCCCAGGGCUUAACCCUGGAAUUGCCUUUAAGACUGCAUCGCUUGAAUCGUGGAGAGGUUAGUGGAAUUCCGAGUGUAGAGGUGAAAUUCGUAGAUAUUCGGAAGAACACCAGUGGCGAAGGCGACUAACUGGACACGUAUUGACGCUGAGGUACGAAAGCGUGGGGAGCAAACAGG
rnacentral:rRNA from 1 species